GGCACUGCUGGGGGACCCAGUACACCCUCUGCAGCCGCUGGCCCGGGUGCUAACCCUCUCAUUGCCCGGGCCGGCAGGGCCCUCCGGCUGCUCCGAGUGCGGGGCCGCCAAGCCCACGCCCACCCGGAACUCCAGCUGGCCCGCAAGCGCCGUGCGCAGCCCCAGUUCCCGUUGGCUCCUCUCCCUCCAUACCUCCCUGCAAGCUGACAGAGCAGGCUGUGGCCUUGGCCAGCCCAGAAAGGGGUUCCCACAGUGCAGCGGUGGGCUGAAGGGCUCCUCAAGUGCCGCCAAAGUGAGAGCCCAGGCAGAGGAGGCGCUGAGAGCGAGCAAGGGCUCUGAGGACUGUCAGCACGCUGUCACCUCUCACUAUUGUGAGACUUCACGUUGUGAUGGUGAAUCUAUCUAACAGCCUGUGGAUGAGGUCAAAGGAAAGAGGGAAGAAAGGAGAAAGGGGAGAAGGAAAGAACUUGAGGCUUUGAUGACCGUUGGAAUGCGGAGAAGCUAUGAGAAAAGAGCUACAAGAGAAAAAUGGCAGCAUUGCAAAGUGCAAGAACACUGAAGGGAUUAAACAGCAUUCUAGAAAACAAGACAGACCAUGAAGAGUAUGGGAAGAAACAGGAAGGCCUAUUUCCCGGUACCAUACCCAGAAGCUGUA
rnacentral:lncRNA from 1 species